CACGCCUCGCGCCCGCUUCCCCCCGCCGCCCCAAACUCCUUCCUCAGGACCGUGGGAUGCGGGUGAGCUCUGGUGAGAGUUGCCGGUCUCCAUUUCUAAGCGGGGAGCCGCCGGGAGCGACCGACCCUUCUGCCCCACCCCACUCCCCCGCAUCCCGGGUGUAACCGGAUGGCAAAAAUCAAAGCUGGCUCCAAUUUACCCCAGUUGUCUUCCUUUGAACACUCAUAAGGCAUCUGCCCCUGAUUUUAAUCCAAAGGAGCUGCUUUUGGAACUGGCGUGUCCGGCUUUGGUGUGUGCCUGCUGAGGAAGAGACCCACUCUUCUCCAGUCUUGGUAUGUGGAUUUCUCUCUCUCCAAGUAAUUCCUUAGCAUACCCUUGAAUGGCAUCUACCACACUAGAUAACUUUUUCAAUCCACAAGGCUGAAACAACUUUCCUUAACUGAAAUGACUCCAGCACCGCUAUUCACUAGAAGACAUCCUCCUUGAUUUCUUGGGGGGCCCAUAAGAUGACUGAAGUUGUAGACAUGGACAAAACCUAAUUUGGAGCUACCAGCAUCCCCAAAGAUGUCAGAAAGGGCAUUCACCUGUACCCCCUUCCUGAUGAAACAUGCUGGAGCCCCACAUUUACCUGCUGUUCAUCCAGGACCAAGUGUGCAUGCAGCACCUGAAUUUUGUGAUCUCCUGCAUACUGUACCUCUCACUUCCACCCCUUUGCAAAUGAUGCACUUGAUGGCUGCAGAGGGUGAGGAUCUUGCUCUUGUGUCAUGGCUUGGCAUUAUGGCUUCAUCAGGAUAUUAGAAAAGGCUCAGGGAAAACAGUUACAGCUAUUCUAUCACCUGAGACACUUCCGGCAGCUCCCGCCUUUCCUUAGAAUUACCAAUCCAAGUGGUGACCCUGCCUGACCCUACUUAUCUUGUAAAACCUGACAAGAUCACAGCCUGAAGCAGUAUAGCCACAGGCUCAAUACUGCCUACCAAAGUGUCUGUUUAGUAUUUUCAAGAACGUUGCUCUAAAGAUUUACAAUACCAGACACUAGAUAUAUGGACAACACCAACACACAGCUCUGACCCCUGAACAUUCAGCCCCAUUUAUAAAGAAAUUUGUGUCUCUCAAGGGGCCAACACUGAGCUGCUACGAACUAGCGAUUCCCUACCUGCAAGCAAGUGGAUUUUAAGUACAAUUUGAUUAUAUAUACCAAGACAUUGGGUAAAAGUAUUUGAAAACUAUGGCCUUGAAUUCAGAAUUCAUGGUUCGUUUUUUUCAUUGGUUGCAUUACUACUUUAGCAAUAGAAAGGUCUCUGCCAUUUCUGUGUAAUAUAUAGAAUUUACUUUUAGUUUGGUGUAGAGAAUUUUCUUCACUCUUCCAUGACCAAAGCAGGUUUUCAUUAGAAGGUAUUUUUAGAUGAACUGUAAGUUUCCUCCCCAGCAAAAAUUUUAGCUGCACCAAGUGAAAGCAAAUGCACAUUUCCUCAGAUAUCUCUAAAGAUAAACACAGGUUUAAAUAUACAAAAAAAUUUAAGGGUUUAGUUGCAUAUGGGUUCAUACACCGGAUGGAUUAAGUUCUUGCAAAGUUGUGUGGGCUUUUUCCCCUCUUCUUUUUAGAACAGCAAAGACUUGGAACAGACAUUGAGGUCCUAUUGCUCCUGUCGGAAACUUCUGUUGACGCAGCAUGAAUUGGAUGGGACCCAGAGAAACCAAAUACAGACAAGUAAUGAUGAGUUGGCCAUACAAGCAAGGAAAAUCACAGAUAACAGGAAUGUUUCGGCUACCUUCAUCCUCAUCCGAUGAUGCUUAAGGAACUCAGCUGGCUCGAUCUUCUGUGCACCAGCAGGGACUUCUUUAAAUGGGAUGAAGAUGCUGCAGUAUGUGUUUUCUGAGGAAAAGGAAGCUUCUCCCCUCACCUCCUUUACCAGACAAGUGUGUGAUUUCCAGUUCUCUUCAAUAUCUUCUGUGGUAGCUGUUAGAGAAUGUUGACGCCAGCAAGUGGCUAUGACACUUGAAGAGGGGAUUGUAGAGUGCUGAAGAGGAUUUUCAAGAGUGAUACACUCCUCACUCUGCUGAGAGCAUAUUCAGAAAGCCAGUGGGUCCUUUGGAGCCUGCAUCUGCUUCCUUGGUUUGGAAAUUUGGUCCCUGAAACAAAGGGAUGCCAAAUGUCCAGGGCUCAAGCAGAUGGGAGACACUCAAAGAGAGAUUGUGGGGCAGCUGUGGGGUGUAGAGGGGAUACAUGCUUUGAGAUGACACCAGAUAGUCUAGAGCCUGACUCUACCUUGUUAUUAAAAAAAGAGGCCUUUUAUAAGGCCAUACUAUGCAUACUAUGUUACAAAGGGAAAACUUUAUCUAAGCAGAAUGGUAGAUAAUAUGUUUCUAUAAAGAUUUCAUAAAGGUAAAGUGAAUUUCACUCAUUUAAAAAAGACUGUGUUACCACUAUUUCUAUAUAUAUGAACAAGCCAUACUGGUGUUGAAACCACAUAAGAAAAAAAUCAGGCCAACUUCAAAACUACACUUGGGAUCCAAAUAACACCACUGGGAGGAUUUAGCAUAAUAAGUUUACCUGAGGUUGGAACUUGUGUUUGCAGUUGCGUGCCAAAUGUGGUUUAAGCUCUAAGAAAGGGCUAAGAUUUGUCAUCUGAUAUUCAUGAAAAACAAAGGAAGACUUUUUAAUUUUGGUUUAUUUUUAAAAAAAUGCCAGCCUCAGAUUGUUGGGAAAGCUUCAGUAGAAUAAUUUCUUAAUCACCUUUAUGUUCUCAGGCAUAGCUGGCCUUCAAAGUCCAUAUUAAAACUCCCCACUGAUUUCCUUAGGAUUAUGCCCCUCAGAAUGGAUGACAGAAGAAACAAAUACUCAUCAGGCCUCAGCCAUUGCCUGGCAAUCCCAAGGGAUAUGCCCCUCUGAUCCCCACAAGGAAAUCCUCAGACACCAUUUUACAGGAUAAGGAAAAUCUCUUCUUUCCCAAGGAUGACAGAGAGAAAGACAGACCAUGUGAGGCGGGAUGUGCCACUCCCUUUUUGAGACAAAGAGAAUGCACUAGCACACGAGCAGCCAAGGGAAGGGAAGCCAGCAGAAGGCUUUUGUAAAAGGCUAGGAUAGUUGGUGUGGAUGCUUCAAUGUAAACAGAUACAAAAGUGUUAAUGAAAUAAUGUGAAAAUCCUAAUUUUAGAGUGCAACAAAAUGUCAACAUUCUUUUUACCUUUUUACAUACUUUAACACUUAUGCAGGUGACUCCAGAGAUAAUUUUGAUUUGAAAAAUAUAUUUUUUAAACAAUACGAGAUAUUUGUUUGCUUUUUUGAAUUUGAGAGUGAAGUGAGUGUUAUACAGGUGUGACUCUUGGGGAUGGCACUAAACAGGGACAGGAGCUGGACUCAGUGGUCAUUGUGGAUCCCUUCCAACUCAGCAUAUUCUGUGAUUCUGAAGUUUUAUGAUAUUUUUUAAUCAAAUAUACAAAUGCUACAUGAAAGAAAUAAUAUUCUCAUUCAUACUUGCAUUAUACAGGUUGUAUUCUGUGUAGUUUUGGCGAAUUACUAUUAUAUCAAAUUGCUAUUGGUAUUGGAACAGAGUCUGAGAUUGCUUUGCUUUGUAGUCUCCACUUAGUCACAGUCAUAGAGACUCUGCUUCUAAAAUCUGUUGAAUAUACUCCAAUUCUAAUGAUAAAGUUAUGGCAUAUUGACUUGCUUUAUUUUAUAGUACUUAAGCCAGCUAAUUCAUCACUGAAAGCUUCUAUUAAAAAGAAUUUUUUUGUUUUGUUUUGUUUUGUUAUGUUAUGUUAAUGAACUCACCUUUGGUCGUUAGACCAUUCUAUCUGUCCUGUUUCAGCAGAUAUGUCCCAUCUGCAAUUGCUGUCACUCAUAAUGGCAGCUGUACUGGGCAUUUAUAGUGUGUUUAUUGCCCUAGAUUAAUUUUAAAGUUUUUUAUUUUUUUUUAUGGUACCACAAAAGCAAGAGUUCCAUCAACUUCUUAUAAUAAGUUUAAAUAUCAAUGUAAUAACUGCUAAGGGAUUGCUGUCAGCUAAAAACUAUAUUCAUAUUAUUUUGGAAAGUAGCUUGUGCAGCCUAUUCUCAGAGGUCUUCUGUGGGGGACACUCCAGACCCUCCAUAAACAAUAAUUUCCACCGCUUCAGUGUCUUCACUGUGAAAAAAUUUUUGCCAGCAUUUGACCUGACUUUCCUUUGUUUCAGUGUAGUACUGUCACUUUCUGUCAUCUGGCUGUAGUCCUGAAAUACAAACUCUUCCCUGCCUCUUUCCAGAAGGCUUUUAACAUUUGAAGUCCUUGGUUUUUAUGUCCACUCAUUUUCUUUUCCAGAUGAAAUCACCCCAGUUCAGAUUUCUUUGCAGGUGACAUUUCCCAAAUUUCUGAUCAUUCCCAUUCCUCUCCUUCGGACACUUUUGAAAGCUGCUGUAUCUUUUUUGAAAAGUGAUUUUUUAAUGGGGUCCCUGCCAGCGUGCAGCUGAGCAGCAUGAUCACUGCCUUAUCUUACAAGAAAGCUUCUGUCUGCUCAGCUCCCAACAGCUCAGCCCUCUGGCACCCAGAUAUGCUUCUGAUUUUCUUUCCCACAACUCUGGGGGGAGAGAAAAAGAGAGAUUGUCCCUCAUUCAAAAUCAAGCUUCAGUCUUAUGUUGUCUGCUCCUACCUAGUGGAACCUUCAAAGUUCUUCAGGAGCUGCUUAAGAGGGAAAGAGAGUCCUGGAUGUUAUCUUUCAGAAGAGAAUGGAAACCAAGAUUUUCCCAUGUACAUGAGACAUGUUUGACCCCAUAAAAUUCUCUUUCUCUCUCUGUUUUCCUUCCAAUAUGAAAAUCCCUUAAAAAUGCAAAGUUUGGUUUUAUCUUAUUUUCUAUUUUUUUCUUGUGUAAUUAUUUGCAUUACUAAUUUAAGUGAAUGUGUUAUGAAAGCAUCAUUUUAAACCAAAAAAGCACAGAAAAUCAAAAACUUGAUCUUUUUUUUUUAACCAUUAUUUCUUCCAAAAUGGCUUGCAUCAUUCAGCACAAAAUUAUUUUUCAUCUUCAGGUCAGUAAAAAUGUUGUGAAAAACCCUCACUUAAUUUUUGAGUGAUUGUUCUCCUUCUUGACUUGACACAUUUGAGCAAAAUAACUCAGAAAAUUCUAAUAUAAUUCUGCCACUUAUGUAAAUUCACUCAGAUUUUGCAUCAGGAUAUCUGGUUGGUUUUGUUUGCAGCAGCAUGUUUUGAAUAUUUUUAAAAAAUUGCAUUAUUUUAAUCACAGAAAACACAGACUUAGGUGCCUCACUCCCUUAAAGUUAACAGAAAACUCCCUUGAGCUUCUUUUGGGAAGGGUUGAGCCUUUAAUCUGUGUUUGUUUAAUAAUAAAGUCCCUGAGAUAGGCUGGUAGAUAAGUUUCUUUGAGACAUACUUGUAUCAGUGUUCUCAUAUACCCUGGUUUCUUAGACUGCUUAAGCAGGUACUGAUGAUUUUGCCACAAUGAUGUCCUCCUGAGCCUCUGGUUUGUCUUUCUGUUCCUAUUUCAUGAAGGUAAAUAUUUUGCAGCAGAAGCGUGAAAAUGUAUAUAUUUAUUUAUAUAUAUGUAUAUGUAAAAUGAGUGAUUCAUAAUUAGUCUUCUGUUUUCUUACUCCAUUAAAUUCCAUUCCACAUGAUCAUUUCUGAACAAACAUUUGC